UUGGUUGGAGGCCUAGGAGUGAAAUUUCCCAUUGUCCCGCUACCCCCAGGAGGUGGUGGUGGGGCUAUAGGGUUGCCACCAGGAGGCAUAGGCCUAGGACCAUUUCCCAUAGGAGGCGGCGGCGGCGGUAAUGAACCAGGAGCUGGAGGUGGAGGGCCCCUAGGAGGGUUUGGCAGCCCUUGAGGUGGAGGAGGAGGUGGCGGUGCUGGAGCAUGAGGUGGUGGAGGCAAAGGCCUUGGAGGAGCACCUGGGGCUGCAGUACCAUUGACUGCAGGAGGAGGUGGAGGUUUGUUCACCUCUAGUGGCUUGGUUUUAAAAUAUACCUGCAA
rnacentral:lncRNA from 1 species